rnacentral:rRNA from 1 species
AGAGUUUGAUCCUGGCUCAGAGCGAACGCUGGCGGCAUGCUUAACACAUGCAAGUCGCACGGUCAGCAAUGGCAGUGGCGGACGGGUGAGUAACGCGUAGGUAUCUGUCCAUGGGUGGGGGAUAACCAAGGGAAACUUUGGCUAAUACCGCAUGAUGCCCGAGGGCCAAAGGCGCAAGUCGCCUGUGGAGGAGCCUGCGU